rnacentral:pre_miRNA from 1 species
AAAACGAAGAAAGAAGAAGAAGCAUAGUGUUGUCUUCUUCUUCUCCCUUCGUUUCCC